UAGGGAAUAUUAGUAAUGGGCGCAAGCCUGAACUAGCAACGCCGCGUGUGCGAAGAAGGCCUUCGGGUUGUAAAGCACUUUUUGAGAGGAUGAGGAAGGACGGUACUCUCAGAAUAAGUCUCGGCUAACUACGUGCCAGCAGCCGCGGUAACACGUAGGAGGCAAACAUUAUCCGGAUUUACUGGGCGUAAAGCGCGUGUAGGUGGUUUGGUAAGUAGGGCGUGAAAGCUCCUGGCUCAACUGGGAGAGGACGUUCUAAACUGCCAAGCUUGAGGAUGGUAGAGGGAGGUGGAAUUCCGGGUGUAGCGGUGGAAUGCGCAGAUACCCGGAGGAACACCAGUGGCGAAGGCGGCCUCCUGGACCACUCCUGACACUCAGACGCGAAAGCUAGGGUAGCAAACGG
rnacentral:rRNA from 1 species